rnacentral:lncRNA from 1 species
CACUGGUUUAACUGCUGCAUUGCCACUUGGUUGUCAGAUUAUCUAAAUAUUGGCUAUAUAUAGAUAUAAAAGUACAAACUUCCAGCUGUGAAAUGAUUCCAUUUGCAAAACAAGGUCAUGUAAAAAACAAACAUUUGCAUCGAAUUCUGGAAGUAAUUUCCUGCAGACUUCAUAUUGGGGUGCAGAUUAACAAAAUAAUGUGCCAACCACCCUUAUUAGGGAAGGAUUUAUAGA